UACGGAGGGUGCAAGCGUUAUCCGGAUUUACUGGGUUUAAAGGGUGCGUAGGCGGACUUUUAAGUCAGGGGUGAAAUCCCGGGGCUCAACCCCGGAACUGCCUUUGAUACUAUUGGUCUUGAAUGUUGUGGAGGUGGGCGGAACGGGUCAUGUAGCGGUGAAAUGCAUAGAUAUGACCCGGAACACCGAUUGCGAAGGCAGCCCGCUACGCAACGAUUGACGCUGAGGCACGAAAGCGUGGGGAGCAAACAGG
rnacentral:rRNA from 1 species